AUUUUCUAUAUUAAAAUAAAAGAAAUAAAAAUUACUAUCUUUAGCCUUCGUGAUUUCCUCGUUAAUUAAUUUUCACAAGCUUUUACCCUUUUCUUAAAAGGAUAAUAUAUAUCAAUAAGAUUAUCUUUUUAAUUAUAUUGCUUUUAUAUUAUAAAUAAUUGUACAAUUGGCAAAUUAAUAAUAAUUUUCUUUUUCAGAUAAGUUGAUUUUACAGGUAAAUAUACAUUACGGCUUUUUUAUUUACGGGUUGAUCUCGUUACGAUUUAACGAGAAACGUGACCCAGUAAUGUUUAAUUAUUAAUGUAAUGUUCUGAUGUAUUGCAUUUUGACCGUCAAGAUACUUUUAUGGAUAAUUUUAAGGAUAAUUGUCAUGUAUUAAGUGUGAUGCUCAUAAAUACCAAAUAUUUUAGUUUUAUGUUGCUUAUCUUUAUUUUUUAGCAUUCUUAUUUCAUGUAUUUAUUAUACACAUCUCAUUUUUGGAAGAAAAAACCUUCACGAGAUGAAACAAUCGGUUUCUUCAGCAUGUUAUCCCGAAGGACGCAUGACUUUGCGUCAGGACUGACUGGACGCUUUGUUUGUUCUUUUGCUUCUAGGCGUUAAUGGGUCUUUUAAAGUCUUCGGCAGAUCAUUCUCCGGCGAUGCCGACAACAAUGUCAGAUUUCCUUGUCCGAAUUACAACUGCGGUCGCGCCUUCAAUUGGAAGAGAAACUUAACGCGACAUUUGAAAUACGAAUGUGGUCUUCAGCCGCGCUUCAAAUGCCCCUACUGUGAUUACUAUGGCAAGCUCAAAGGCAACGUCAGUAAGCAUCUUCUCCGCAGGCACAACAACCGAAAGAUUUAUGUCGUCGAUUUGUCCCAAGGGACAUCAUGAAUGCGACACGACCAAUGAACGUUUUAUCUAGCUGCGUAUCUUUCGUUUAUCGAGAAGUCAAGAAAUCUGCCCAUUCUGAUUCAUGAAUCGUGUUUUCGGCAUUGAUCUGUAUUUAUAUUUCUGUAUUUAUUCUUAAUUGUUCAUUUUCAUCUAUCUAAAUCGUGCAAGGUAAUGUUAUCGAUUGCAAUGCUAACUGUUUGUUUGUUAGAAGUUGUAUGUGCUUUCGAGUAUUCGGUCAAAAUUGUACCUAGAAAUGCGCAAAAAUAUUAGAACUAUUAUGAAACUAUUAUGAAUAAAUAUAUAAGAACAAAUGCACUUUAUAUUAUUCAUUUUUGCACACAGUGAGUAAAUGCAUGUGUGAAUGCUGAAGAUCUGAUUUAAAUAAUAUGUAUCUCACACGAACAAUAAUGUUUAGAGAUUCGAGAAAUUGUGAUUUCUAUUUUGCAAGUGAAGAGGAAAAUCCGCAGGAAAAGAGGGUUUUGUUUGAGUUAAUUAUUUGCGAUUUUACGUACAAAUAAUAGUGGUUUUUCUUGUUUUGAGGUUGUCAAGAACAAUUAGCGGCACUUUACCUCUUCGCACACGUCUCGACGAGCACUUUUGAAACAUUUAUCGCUAAUGAAUCGUUAUUUUUUCAGUUAUCAAAGGAUCUACAUGCUCGACAACCUGUCCUCUUCUCAUCACAAAAGUGUGGAGCUUGAGGAAUAUCUUCCCGUGUCCUAAUCUAAAUUGCUCGAGUGUUUACAAGUUGGAAAAAAGUCUGACGUAUCACCUUCGUCACCAUUGCGGGCAGAAGCCCAGGUUCAAGUGUCCCUACUGCGAAUAUGUGAGCAAGUUCAAGGGCAACAUCAACCAGCAUAUUCUCCACCAGCACAACAAACGGAAGGUUUAUGUCGUCGAUUUGUUCCAAGGGACAUCAUGAAUGCGACACGACCAAUGAACGUUUUAUCUAGCUGCGUAUCUUUCGUUUAUCGAGAAGUCAAGAAAUCUGCCCAUUCUGAUUCAUGAAUCGCGUCUUCGGCAUUGAUCUGUAUUUGUAUUUCUGUAUUUAUUCUUAAUUGUAUAUUUUCAUUUAUCUAAAUCGUGCAAAGUAAUGUUAUCGAUUGCAAUGCCAACUGUUUGUCUGUUAGAAGUUGUAUGUGCUUCGAGUACUCGGUCAAAAUUGUACCUAGAAAUUCGCAACAAUAUCACAACUAUUAUGAAACUAUUAUGAAUAAAUAUAUAAGAACAAAUGCACUUUAUAUUAUUUAUUUUUGCACACAGUGAGUAAAUGCAUGUGUAAAUGGUGAAGAUCUGAUUUAAAUAAUAUGUAUCUCACACGAACAAUAAUGUUUAGAGAUCCGAGAAAUUGUGAUAUCUAUUUCGCAAGUGAAGAGGAAAAUCCGCAGGAAAAAAGAGUCUCGUUCGAGUUAAUUAUUUGCGAUUUUACGUACUAAUAAUAGCGGUUUUUCUUGUUUCGAGGUUUUCAAGAACAAUUAGCGACACGUACUCUAAUUCUUUGCAUGCGUCUCGACAAGCAUUUUUGAAACAUUUAUCGCUAACAAAUCGUUAUUUUUUCAGAUAUUCAAAAACCCACGUGCAGAACAACCUAUCCUCUUCUUAUUACAAAAGUGACGAGCUUGAAGAAAGCCUACCCGUGUCCUAAUCCAAAUUGCUCGAGCGCUUUUAAGUUCAAAGCAAAUCUGACGUAUCACCUUCGUCACCAUUGCGGACAGAAGCCCAGAUUCAAGUGUCCCUACUGCGAAUAUGUGACCAAGCGCAAGGAGAGUGUAACGACGCACAUUCGAAUGAAGCAUCGAAACAACGCCGUUUAUGUUAUUGAUUUUCUGGCGAUAUAAAGCUGAGUGAAUUUUCUCUGAUUUUCACGAAAUAAAGAUAAUACUGGAUGUUCAACAACAAUUAUUAAACAGCAAUUAUUAUUUAGUAAAUAUUGGUAUAAAAUGCAUUCAUGUUGUAGAUAAUUUAAUAGCACAUGGAGAGGAAUAUUGUUGGAAUACGAAAAGACGUUUUUUUUUUAAGUUAAGAAAAUAAUUUUUGGAAACAAUAAAAUUAAAAAUAAAAAAUGAGCUUUUGGCAGUUUUUGAUUUAAAUAAUAUGUAUCUCAUAUGAACAAGAAUGUUUAGAGAUCCGAGAAAUUUCGAUUUUUAUUUCGCAAGGGAAGAAGAAAAUCCGCAGAAAAAGCGAAUCUUGUUUGAAUUAAUAAUUAAUUGUAAUUUUGCGCACAAAUAAUAGCAUUUUUUCUUGUUUCGAGGUUUUCAAGAAUAAUUAGCGACACGUAAUCUACUUUUUUGCACACGUCUCGACGAGCAUUUUUGGAACAUUUAUCAUCAACAAUCGUUAUUUUUUUCAGAUAUCAAAGAAUCCACGUGCAGGACAACCUAUCCUCUUCUCAUUACAAAAGUGAGGAGCUUGAGGCCUACCUUCCCGUGUCCUAAUCCAAAUUGCUUGAGCGCUUUCAAGUUGAAAAGCAAUCUGAUGAACCACAUUCGUUACCAAUGCGGCCAGAAGCCCAGAUUCAAGUGUCCCUACUGCGAAUAUGUGAGCAAGUUCAAGAGCCAUGUAAAGAGGCACAUUCGACUUAAGCAUCGAAACGACGCUAUUUAUGUCAUUGAUCUUCAACAGUAGAUAUAAAGACGAAUAAAUUUUUUUUAAUUUGAAAUAAGGACGAUACUGUAUGUUCAACAAUAGUUAUUAUUUAGUAAAUAUUGGUAUAAAAUACAGUCGUAUUGUAGAGAAUUUAAAUAGCACAUUAAAAGGAAUGUAUUAUGCCGAAAUACGAAAAGAUUUUUUUUUUGUUAAGCUAAGAAAAUUACUUUUGGAAACAAUAAAAUUAGAAAUAAAAUAUGAGUUUUUGGCAGUUUUUGAUUUAAAUAAUAUGUACCUCAUAUGAACAAGAAUGUUUAGAGAUCCGAGAAAUUGUGAUUUCUAUUUUGCAAGGGAAGAAGAAAAUCCUCAGGAAAAGCAGAUCUUGUAUGUGUUAAUUAUUUGUGACUUUGUGUACAAAUAAUGGUGUUUUUUCUUGUUUCGAGGUUUUCAAGAAUAAUUAGCGACACGUGCUCUACUUUUUCGCACGCGUCUCGACAAACAUUUUUGGAACAUUUAUCGCCAACGAAUCGUUAUUUUUUCAGAUAUUCAAAAACCCACGUGCAGGACAACAUAUUCUCUUCGCAUUACAAAAGUGAAGAGCUUGAAGAAAACCUACCCGUGUCCCAAUCUAAAUUGCUCGAGCGGUUACAAGACAGAAAAGAAACUGAAGUAUCAUCUUCGUCACCAGUGUGGUCAGAAGCCCAGAUUCAAAUGUCCCUACUGCGAAUAUGUGAGCAAGCACAAGUGCAACGUACAGAGACACAUUCAUGUCAAGCAUCGAAACAAGGCCGUUUGUGUCAUUGAUUUUCAGCAGUACAUAUAAGGACGAAUAAAUUUUCUUUGAUUUCACGAAAUAAAGACAAUACCAGAUGUUAUUAAACAACAGUUAUUAUUUAGUAAAUAUUAAUAUAAAAUGCAGUCGUGUUGUAGAGAAUUAAAAGCACAUUGAGAGGAAUAUAUUUUGCUGAAAUACGAAAAGAUGAUUUUUUUUUUAAGUUAAGAAAGUUAUUUUUGGAAACAUUAAAAUUAGAAAUAAAAUAUGAGUUUUUGACAGUUUUUGAUUUAAAUAAUACGUACCUCACAUGAACAAAAAUGUUUAGAGAUCCGAGAAAUUGCGAUUUCUGUUUCUCAAGGGAAGAAGAAGAUCCGCAGAAAAAGCAGGUCUUUUUUGUGUUAGUUUUGUGAUUUUGCGUACAAAUAAUAGCGUUUUUUCUUGUCUCGAGGUUUUCAAGAAUAUUUAGCGUCACGUACUCCACUUCUUCGCACGCGUCUCGACGAGCAUUUUUGGAACAUUUAUUGCCAACGAAUCGUUAUUUUUUCAGAUAUCCAAGCAUCCACGUGCAGGACAACCUAUCCUCUUUUUAUUACAAAAGUGAGGAGCUUGAGGAAUACCUACCUGUGUCCUAAUCCAAAUUGCUCGAGCGCUUUUAAGUUCAAAAGAAGUCUGACGUAUCACCUUCGUCACUAUUGCGGGCAGAAGCCCAGAUUCAAGUGUCCCUACUGCGAAUAUGUGAGCAAGUGCAAGGCCAAUGUAAAGAGGCACAUUCAAAUAAAGCAUCGAAGCAACGCCGUUUAUGUCAUCAAUUGUCAGCAAUAGAUAUAAAGACGAAUGAAUUUUCUUUGAUUUCACGAAAUAAAGACAAUACCGGAUAUUUAACAACAGUUAUUAAACAAGUUAUUAUUUAGUAAAUUUUUUGUAAAAUGCGGUCGUAUUGUAGAUAAUUUAAUAACACAUUGAGAGGAAUAUAUUUUGCUGGAAUACGAAAAGAUGUUUUAUUUAUUAAGUUAAGAAAAUAAUUUUUAGAAGCAAUAAAAUUAGAAAUAAAAUAUGAGCUUUUGACAAUUUUUAAUUUAAAUAAUACGUAUCUCGCAUGAACAAGAAUGUUUAGAGGUCCGAGAAAUUGUGAUUUGUAUUUUGCAAGGGAAGAAGAAAAUCCUCAGGAAAAGCAGGUCUUGUUUGUAUUAAUUAUUUGUGACUUUGCAUAUUAAAAAUAAUGGCUUUUUUUCUUGUUUCGAGGUUUUCAAGAAUAAUUAGCGACACGUACUCUACUUCUUCGCACGCGUCUCGACAAACAUUUUUGGAACAUUUAUCGCCAACAAAUCGUUAUUUUUUCAGAUAUUCAAAAACCCACGUGCAGGACAACAUAUUCUCUUCGCAUUACAAAAGUGAGGAGCUUGAAGAAAACCUACCCGUGUCCUAAUUUAAAUUGCUCGAGCGCUUUUAAGUUGAAAAGGAAUCUAGCAUAUCACCUUCGUUACCAGUGUGGUCAGAAGCCCAGAUUCAAGUGUCCCUACUGCGAAUAUGUGAGCAAGCACAAGUGCAACGUACAGAGACACAUUCAUGUCAAGCAUCGAAACAACGCCAUUUGUGUCAUUAAUUGUCAGCAGUAGAUAUAAAGACGAAUGAAUUUUCUGUGAUUUCAUCAAAUAAAGACAAUACCGGAUCUGACAGUUAGUAAACAACAGUUAUUAUUUAGUAAAUAUUGGUAUAAAAUGCAAUCGUGUUGUAGAGAAUUUAAAGCACAUUGUAAGGUUUAUAUUUUGUUGGAAUACGAAAAGAUGAUUUUUUUCUUAAGUUAGGAAAGUAAUUUUUAGAAACAAUAAAAUUAGAAAUAAAAAAUGAGCUUUUGACAGUUUUUGAUUUAAAUAAUACGUACUUCACAUGAACAAGAAUGUUUAGAGGUCCAAGAAAUUGUGAUUUCUAUUUCGCAAGGGAAGAAGAAGAUCCGCAGAAAAAGCAGGUUUUUUUUGUGUUAGUUUUGUGAUUUUGAGUACAAAUAAUAGCGUUUUUUCUUGUCUCGAGGUUUUCAAGAAUAGCGUCACGUACUCUACUUCUUCGCACGCGUCUUGAUGAGCAUUUUUGGAACAUUAAUCGCCAACGAAUCGUUAUUUUUUCAGAUAUCCAAGAACCCACGUGCGGGCCAACCUAUCCUCUUUUCAUUACAAAAGUGAGGAGCUUGAGGCCUACCUUCCCGUGUCCUAAUCCAAAUUGCUCGAGCGCUUUCAAGUGGAAAAGGAAUCUGAUGUACCACCUUCGUUACCAGUGCGGGCAGAAGCCCAGAUUCAAGUGUCCCUACUGCGAAUACGUGAGCAAGCUCAAGGGCGAUGUAAAGAGGCACAUUCGAGUCAAGCAUCGAAACGACGCCGUUUAUGUCAUUGAUUUUCAGCAGUAGAUAUAAGGACGAAUAAAUCUUCUUUGAUUUCACGGAAUAAAGACAAUACCAGAUAUUCAACAACAGUUAUUAAACAACAGUUAUUAUAUAGUAAAUAUUUGUAUAAAGUGCAGUUAUAUUGUAGAGAAUUUAAUAGCACAUUGAGAGGAAUAUUGCUAGAAUACGAAAAGACGUUUUUUUUAAGUUAAGCAAAUUAUUUUUGGAAACAAUAAAAUUAGAAAUAAGAUAGUAGUUUUGGCAGUUUUUGAUUUAAAUAAUAUGUAUCUCACAUGAACAAGAAUGUUUAGAGAUCCGAGAAAUUGUGAUUUCUAUUUCGUAAGGGAAGAAGAAAUUCUGCAGGAAAGGCGGAUUUUGUUUGAGUUAAUUAUUUUUGAUUUUGUGUACAAAUAAUAGUGGUUUUUCUUGUUUCGAGGUUUUCAAGAAUAAUUAGCAAUACGUACUCUACUUUUUUGCACGCGUCUCGACGAGCAUUUUUGGAACAUUUAUCGCCAACGAAUCGUUAUUUUUUCAGAUAUCCAAGAAUCCACGUGCAGAACAACCUAUCCUCUUCUUAUUACAAACGUGAGGAGCUUGAGGGAUACUUACCCGUGUCCUAAUCCAAAUUGCUCGAGCGCUUUUAAGUUCCAAAGAAGUCUGACGUAUCACCUUCGUUACAAGUGCGGGCAGAAGCCCAGAUUCGAGUGUCCCUACUGCAAAUAUGUGAGCACGGUCAAGUGGGACGUAAAGAAGCACAUGCAAUUCAUGCAUCGAAAACACGCUGUCUAUGUCAUCGAUAUUUUUGAGCAAUAUAAAGACGAGUGAAUUUUUUCUGAUUUUACGAAAUAAAAACAAUAUUGGAUGUUCAACAAUAGUUAUUAAACAAUAGUUAUUAUUUGGUACAUAUUUGUAUAAAAUGCGGUUGUAUUGAAGAGAAUUUAAUAUCACUUUGAGAGGAAUAUAAUCUGCUGGAAUACAAAAAGAUGUUUUACUUUUCAAGUUAAGAAAAUAAUUUUUGGAAACAAUGAAAUUAGAAAUAAAAUAUGAGCGUUUUGCAGCUUCUGAUUUAAAUAUGUAUCUCACAGGAACAAGAAUGUUUAGAGAGAUGAGAAAUUGCGAUUUCAUUUUCGCAAGGGAAGAGGACAAUUCGCAUGGAAAAGCUGGUCUCGUUUGAGUUAAUUAUUUGCGAUCUUACGCAUAUAUAAUGGCGUUUUUUUCGUGUUCCGAAGUUUUUAGCGAAGAACGAAUAGUGGCACGCACCCUACCUUUUCGCACGCGUUUCGACAAGCAUCUCUGGAACAUUUUAUCGCGAACGAGUUGUUACUUUUUCAGAUAAUAAUGAAUCCACGUGCUGGACAGCCUAUCCUCGCAGUACGAAACUGAGGUGCGUGAGGUCCAACUUUCCGUGUCCUAAUCCAAAUUGCCGGAGCGUUUUCACGUGGAAAAGGAAUCUGACGAGUCACCUUCGUUACCAGUGUGGUCAGCAGCCCAGAUUCAAGUGUCCCUACUGCGAUUAUGUGUGCAAGGUUAAGGCUGACAUACGGAAGCACAUUCGGGUCAAGCAUCAAAAUCAUGCUGUCUAUGUCAUCGAUAUUUUUCAACAGUGGAAAGUCUUCCAGUGAAUUUUUUUUGAUUUUAUGAAAUAAAGACAAUAUCGGAUGUUCAACAACAAUUAUUAAACAACAGUUAUCAUUUAGUAAAUAUUUAUAUAAAAUGCGGACGUGUUGUAGAGAAUUUAGUAGUACAAUUAUAGGAAUAUAAUUUGCUGGAAUAUAAAAAGAUGUUUUAUUUUUCAAGUUACGAAAAUAAUUUUUUUAAAUAAUGAGAGUAGAAUUAAAAUAUAAGUUUUUGUAGUUUAAAAUUUUCUUUUCUUUCUGUGCUAAUUUAAAAUCUUAAUAUACUUGGCAUAUAUUAUAUUUAAUUUAUUCUUAUUUGCUAUAUUUAAGAUACAUAAAAGCUAUUUGCAUUUUUCUCACAAAAAUAUAAUCUAUAUCUUACAUAUAAUAAUUAAUUUUUCUUAAAAACAUUUUUUUAAAAAACAUAGUUGCUUUAAAGACUUUUAAAAUGCGAGGAAAAUCUGAAUAUGAAUAAAUCCAUGUAAAUAUUCUUGUACAUAUUAUGUAUUAAAAAUUAGAAGUUAUUAAGAACAAAGUUUAAAAUAAUCUUUUCUGCAAAUUAUUGUAAAAUUGUGAUUUAAUAAAAUGUUUUAAUGAUAUUAUAAUAAAUAUCUAUUAAUUAUAUUAAUUAUGCGGUAAUUCGUGCAUACAUAAAAUGUUUUUCUUUGUAUUCAAGAUUUUUAUUGUUACGUGAAAUUAAACGAAUGCAAGUAAUUUUGAAUAUUGAGACAAGUAAAUUUAAUUUUUUUGUACUUAUUAUUUGUUUCUUUAUUUUACUUAUAUAUAUAUAUAGUCAUUUUUAGACAUUUCUUUUGCAGUAAAUGGACAUCAAAUAUAUAUUAGCAUAUAAAAAGAAAGUACAAAAAUUGCAAUAUUUUAAUUUUCUUUAUUUGUAUUUUUGUAUUUUUUAUAUAUAAUUUGUAUGUGUAUUUUGUAUUUUUUGUUUAUUACUUUAGCAUUUGUUAGAGGUAAUUGACAUUAAUUUGUUAAUUAUUUCCUGACAUGUACAUAUUUUUAUAAAUCUAUAUACACAGUAUUUAUAGUUUAUAUAAAAUUACGAAAUAUAAUUGCAUCUUUGCGUAAAGUGCUGUGUAAUAUAAUAAUUUUUAUGUGUAUAUGUGCGCACAAAAUUGCAAUCUAUGUAAGUUGAGAUUUUGUAAUUUAAACGGCGAUUUACAAUGAGCGACGAUUUUCAGGAGAAAUUUAAUUUAAUUUUUGGAAUCAAGCGACGAUCAAAUCCCAAUGAAAUAUUAAUCACAGAUAAAUGAUUUUACAUUCAUUAGAAGUUCCAUAAUUUUAGAUUUCAAAGUUUAGAGUUUGAAGCAAUUCUCUAUAAUUUUUCUUUACAAAGAUACAUCGAAGAUUAUAUCGAUCUUCUAUCUCGUAGCAACAAAGCAAACAUGCAUGCGAGGUCACUCACAUUUUGCUUAUGACGAAACACGUUGCUACCGCGAUCAAUUAAUCAGCUGAUCGUAGUAGCAUAGUAGCACAUGACCUAUGCACGCGCGCUCAUGAAUGCACGCGUGUCAAAUUUUCAACACCCACUGUAACCUUAUAAAAAAUUGAUAUGAUAGAAAGUCUUUCAUUUGACAUUUCUCAGCUGUCUAUGCAAUUCAUAUACUCUUAUCAUAACAAGUAUGUAUGUCUAUAAUGAUUAUUCUACUAAAAAUUGCAAAAUUGGACUUUUUUCAUCUUCAUCUUACAUGAGAUGUUAUAAAUUAUCGCAUGGAUUAAUGUCGUGGUUGUGGAAAAACAUAUUCAAGAACUGAUCUUUCAUCCUUACAUAAUUUUAACAUAGCUCGAACUUAUGAGCAUCUUCAUUUUUUUAAAUAAAAAUGUAUUAUGUUUUCCAUAAAACGAAAUAUUUCUACAUCGAAAUUUUUCUGCAAUUUUUAUUAUAAAUAAUUAAGAUUAUCUUGUGCUGUUACGCUUUCACGCUGACAAAUCGGACAUGGGGCCGUUGUUUGUGUGUUUCAGGCUUGUGGUAUUCUUACUGUCCCUGGAACGUAAGACCGUAUCAGUGUUUGAACUGUCCCAACAAUUACGCGAAGAAGUGCCACCUGAAGCGUCACGUGAUAAGCGCAUGCAACGGCAAGGAGCCACGUUACAAAUGUCCUUAUUGCACAUACAUAUCGCGGUAUCCUUCGGACACUUACAAGCACGUGAAACGCCUGCACGAGAAUCAGGAUGUUUUCGCCAUCGACGUGUUGCCCACGAACAACUCUUACUUCAAGGAUCCCUUGAUGCGGGAUAACUGUAUCCUGAGGAGUUCGUAGCCCAAAUUAGACGAAUAGUUGCAAGAAUAUUUCACCGUUGUCAUAAAAUUUAUCGUUAGGAAAUUUUUCUGUUUAGCACAAUGUUCUUCAUUUUUCUUGUAACACAUAAGUGACAUUAAAAAUUGCAUUUCCUUCGUCACACGUCAAUCAUUGUUUUUUAUUGUUAUUUGUGUCCUUUAUUUAUUUUUCCAAAAGCUAUUACAUCCAGCCGAAGAAAGUACAAUAAUAUUCUUACCGAAAUUUUUUUUAUAUUGUUUAAUUUUUUAUUGCAUCUCAAACUUACAUGUAAAUUAAAUUUUCAGUGAAUCGCUGUGUAAGGUUAUAUCGAUAAAAACUUUGUUACUUUAAUUUUGACUUCUUUUUUCAUACAGAAAUCAGGAUAUUAUAAAAGUGAGUGCUAUAGGUAGAUUUUUUCGACUCGUAAUUACAAUUAAAAAUUGUGAAUUUUUAUAUGUAGGUGUAACUCACAUUUACGUGGUUUUUUUUGCUGCGAAACUGCAAAAUGAUGCAUGAGGUGGAUGACACAGUUUUAAUUGCAUGAAGAAGUAGAAGGCACGUUGGAAGUUUUUCUCAAAGUUUUAAGGCGAGUAAUGUGAAUUUCUUGUAAGGACAGUUUUUCUAUGAGAAAAUUAUUAUUGAAGCAAUUAAUGCAAUUUGUAAAUUUAUUUAAAUAGACAUUUAUACAUAUAUAAAAAUAUAGUAAAGACGAAUGUUAAUAUUGAACAAGAAUUCUAAAAGAACAAGACGCAUCUUUGAUAUUUUUGUGGCGUUGAGAGUUACACUUUCGUAAUAUGUUAACUGGGUUAAUUUGCUUUGAGAAUACGUGCUGGUCGUUUUCAUAAUAAAUGCAUGAUAAUGAAAAUAUACAAUUAAGGUUAAUAAAGAAUCAUCUUUGUGUAUUUUAUAAUGCUUCUCUUUCUAAUCAAUCUCAAAAGUAUUUUUAUAUCUUAUAAUGUUUCUUUUUCUAAUCAAUCUUAGAAUGUCAGUGCUUCACCAUCUACACGAGCGCUGUCUUUUCACUGUAAAUUUUCGUUUUUUGCUUUCAGGAUCGUUAACGUUAUUGACGAAUGCACAUUAUCGACAACAUCAACAACAAUUAUGGAAUUCGAAACGACAACAAAAGUAUUCGUCGGACAGUAACAUAAGGUACGCAUGUCCGAAGUGCCAUAAGAGCUAUCGACACGUGCAUCAUAUGUUGCGACAUUCUAGAUUUGAGUGUGGCUGUCCACCGAGAUUUCAGUGUCCUUACUGCGGCAUGAAGAGCAAGCAGUCCAACAAUGUCUACAAGCAUAUACGCGUCAAACAUCCCGGAUCGAAGCUUGAAAUUGUCAGACUUUCUUACAUUCAAGAAUAAAUUGUAAUAGAACACAAUAAGACAUCUUUAGAUUGUGGGUCAUUUGGACAAUAACUGGCGGAUCGCAACUUGUACCGUGAGUUCUGAAGUAGUCAAAACGCACAUUGUCUUUCGGACUAACACUCUAUCUUCGCAGAACACAUUUCAUUUGGUUCUCCGUCAUCAUUUGGCAUUUAAUCAAUCGAUUACCGCGUAGUCCAUUCGUGCACAGCUUCCUAAAAUACCUUUAACUGCUUUACUUGUUCGUUUCUUACUAAACAUACCGAUUCGCUCUGUCCUUAUGUACGUGAGGAUGGAAGUGAGAUAAUCUUAUUAAUUAUAGUUAAAAAUAAUCGCUUUACGGAAGCAUUCUUUUCGUUGAGUUGAUUAAAGUAGUUCAUCGUAUCAGGUUGAGCCAGUCCUUUAAGUAUUCGUUGGCACAUGCAUAAAGUAGUUCGCAGUUCUGUUCGAGGCUGCUCCGAGCUCUCGAAGAGUUUUACGAUAGAUUCAUUUCUUUCACGCGAGUGCGCUGCGUGUUGCUGCUUCGGAGUGUUUGAGAAAGAGAAAGAGUGAAAGGGAAAAA